rnacentral:lncRNA from 1 species
AUGGGGAAGAAACAAAACAAAAGGGGAGGGGGUACUAGAAGAAGAGGAAGAGGAAUAUGUGGUGGGAAAUUCUUGAUCAGCAAGUUGUCAAGGGCAAAGUAGAAUAUCUUCUAAAAUUUCUCAGAUGAGGACAACACAUGGGAGCCAGAAGAGAACCUGGAUUGCCCCUUUCUAUAGUCACAGAAAUCAGGUCAUGAGAUAGAUGCAUCAGACGGAGGCAAGUGAAAAGCUGAUUCUGCUUCUGAAGAUAAGGGAAAGAAAAGCAACCCAAAGAAAAAGAAAGAAGAGUUAGAAAAGCCACGAGGCUUUGCCUGAAGUUUGGAGCCAGAACAAAUUAUUGGAGUUACUGACUCAAGCAGAGAACUCAUGUUUCUUAUGGAAUGGAAAUAUUCUGAUGAGGCUGACCUCGUCUCUGCCCAAAAAAGCCUACAUCAAGUGCCCACAGGUUGUCAUAUCCUUUAUGAGGAAAUGCUAAUGUGGCAUUCUUACCCCGCAGAGGUUGAUGACAAAAAAGACGACAAGAAUUAG